GAUGAACGCUGGCGGCGUGCCUAAUACAUGCAAGUCGAGCGAACAGACGAGGAGCUUGCUCCUCUGACGUUAGCGGCGGACGGGUGAGUAACACGUGGAUAACCUACCUAUAAGACUGGGAUAACUGCGGGAAACCGGAGCUAAUACCGGAUAAUAUAUUGAACCGCAUGGUUCAAUAGUGAAAGACGGUUUUGCUGUCACUUAUAGAUAGAUCCGCGCCGCAUUAGCUAGUUGGUAAGGUAACGGCUUACCAAGGCGAUGAUGCGUAGCCGACCUGAGAGGGUGUAGGCCGACAGUGAGAGUGGGCGGCGGUACAGAGUCUUAGAGGCGGCACAAGCAGGGAAGCGUCCGAGAUGGGCGAAAGAUUGAAGGAGCAGCGCAGGGUGAAUGCUGAGGGUCCUCGUAUCGUAUAACUCCGUUAGUAUGGAAGACUCAAUGUGUAAGUAACUAUGCACGUCUUGACGGUACCUAAUCAGAAAGCCACGGCUAACUACGUG
rnacentral:rRNA from 1 species